rnacentral:rRNA from 1 species
CCCUAGUAUAUAAAAUAUUUUAUUAGAAUUAAUUUAGUAAAAAUGAAAAUUAAUAAUUUUAGCGGUUAAUUAUGUUAUUAGAGGAGCUUGUUUGAAUUAAGAAUUUACUCUUUAUAUUUUAAUAUUUUAAGGUUUAUUCAUCUCUGUAAUUUGGACAAAGGUUAACCCAAAAAAUCUUUUUAUUUUCAGGUCAAGAUGUAGCAUAUAAUAUUUAAAAUUAGCUACAAUUAUUUAAUAAUGUAUAAUUAAUUUGUAAUAUUUAGUAAUAAAUUGAAUUUAGUUGUAAUAAAGUUAUUAGGAUAUAAUUGUGAUUUAGUAUAAUUAAUGU